UAGUACAGUGGUGAGUAUCCCCGCCUGUCACGCGGGAGACCAGGGUUCGAUUCCCCG
rnacentral:tRNA from 1 species